rnacentral:sRNA from 1 species
AGCGGCAUGGAUGCCGCUGGUUCCAUCAGAAGCGAUGUUUCGGCGGAGCCGAAACUCGCCAUGAAAAGUGUACAAGGAUGUACACUUUUCAUGAUGC